rnacentral:lncRNA from 1 species
AGGAGAGAGCUGGGAGGUGACGGGAAGGGGAGAUCCACUGGCCUGAAUGCUCCUGAUUGGUGGAGAGACAGGUAGAUAAAGAGGUGACCACCAAAUCUGGUGACAGGAGGUCUGUCUGAAACCGUGACCAGAGCAGUUUCAGUGAGUAGGUCGUGGGCACUGGCUGGACGGGAUUGACGGAAACGUGGAUGUGGCUGGUAGAGACAGCAAAUACACAGAGGCCGCUUUUGACGAGUUUUGCUGACUAAUGACUCAAAACCACGCAUGUCGGCUAUAGGCUCACGGCCAGUCCCUUUCACUGCUGCGGAGCUUUGACUCCACAAAGCGCCUACUAUGGGCCGGCUUAUUACUUGUCUGUGACCCUGAUGAGGCAUUCUUUUCCUGAUAGUUUGUUGGGAAGAUGGACGGAAGACAUCAGAAACCCACGCAUGGAGAUUCAAGAAAAAGCUGGCAGUGGGCGUCUGCAGGAAAACCAUUCUCUCUUCGAACAAUCUGAAGUCUCUGGAGUAUCGACAAGAUGCCUCUAGGCCUGUGCUGUCCAAGGCCGUAGCCACCUGUGGCCUUCCAACACUUGAAAAUGAAGCUGGUCAAAUUUGAAAAAUGCCAUUUGACUCGUAACAGACUUUGAAGGCUUCGUAUGAAAGAAAGAAAGUAAAAUAUUGCAGUAGUUUUUCUAUUGAUGAUACGCUGAAAGGAUCACACUUUGGACAUACUGGGUUAAAGGAAACAUAUUGUUAAAGUUAAUGCAGUCUGUUUCUGUUUCCAUUUUUAAUGUGUCUGCUAGAAAAUUUAGAAGCCCAACUGCACGGCUCCCCCUUUGGUGCUACGCUGACCUGCUUGUCCUGAAGCAGCUGAGGGCCACCCUGUUGGAGGGGAGGGGAGAAGGCUCAUCUUGAAGUUCCUGUGCAAAACAGGUCCUGUUUUCCCCUUGAGGGUGUGUUGGGGGCCAAAGUUUCCUUUCAGGGGCUGCUGGAUGUCACUUGCGAGUGAAGGUGCUGUAACUCUUUCAUCAGGGAGCUCGUCUACCCCACAGCAACUAGAUGUUGCUUCCUACAGUUCCCAGGGCUUUUCUCCCUCCCCCCUCCUCUUUUUCCUUUUCUUUCUCCCUCAAAAAGCGUGAUUGUGUAAUUGGCUUAUCAUACGUUUUCACAACUAUGCAGCCACCACCACAAUCCAGUUUUAGGACAGUUCCAGCACCCUGAAGCUUUUCCUCACACUUUUUUGUACUCAAUCCCUGUUCCCAGCAGCCUCUAGGAAACCACUGAUUUGCUUUCCAUAGCCAUAGUAUCUCCUCUUUGCAGAAAUUUCAUGUAAAUGGGAUCAAACAAUGGGUGGUCUUUUGUGUCUGGCUCCUCUCUAUUAGCGCAUUGGUUUCCAGGUUUAUCCGCGUUUGCAGGGCCGCUGUGGCCAGCUCCAACGUUUUAGCCUAGAGGAGAGAGAAAGCGGUGGAAGGAAAUUUCGGG